UAUAAAAUGAUGUGCAAAAUAUGCAUGGGCUGAUUUUACCUGCUGACUUCCUUUAAUUUUGAAUUAUCCCCAGAUGUUUUCAGAAAUUUGAAAUUGUUAGUGUUUUAAGAUUAAUGAAACUAUUUCCUUGAGCUGAUUCACAGUCUAUAUGAUGAGCAGAGUAGAAUUACUGCUGUUUAUUAAACAGAAUUCAGAGCAAAUCUCCAUCUCUCUCCCCUGCCAAACAUCUACCAGAAGCCAUUUAGAGAAAAAGAAUAUUUGCCCAUUUGAUUUUAGGCUAAUGCUAAUGAGUGAGAAUUCUGACACAUGCAAACGUGUUCAGAAGAGGCAAACAAGUACUUUAAACACACACACACAAAUUAUUAUUGUCUCUUAGGUUUGGACGUUGAUGGGAUAUACAGAGUAAGUGGCAACCUCGCAGUGAUCCAGAAACUAAGGUUUGCAGUCAAUCACGGUAAGCUUAUAUUUACUGUUGUUAUUCAGAUGCAUCACUCAUAACUUUUUGAACUGGCUUAAAGUAAUUUUUUAAAAUGUCCAAUUCCUGCUGUUUUUCAGAUGAGAAAUUGGACUUGAAUGACAGUAAAUGGGAAGAUAUUCAUGUCAUUACUGGAGCCCUCAAAAUGUUUUUUCGAGAAUUACCAGAACCUCUUUUUACAUUUAAUCAUUUUAAUGAUUUUGUUAAUGCAAUUAAGCAAGAACCAAGACAGCGAGUCGCUGCUGUUAAGGACCUAAUCAGACAGUUGCCAAAGCCAAACCAAGAUACAAUGCAGAUUCUUUUCCGACAUCUCAGAAGAGUUAUAGAAAAUGGAGAGAAAAAUCGAAUGACCUAUCAGAGUAUAGCAAUUGUUUUUGGUCCCACUCUAUUAAAACCAGAAAAAGAGACUGGUAAUAUAGCAGUUCAUACUGUGUACCAGAAUCAGAUUGUAGAAUUAAUUCUUCUGGAACUGAGUUCCAUCUUCGGACGUUGAUUCUUACUGAAGACAACCUGUGGAAUAGAAGCUGGAUUCCAUCAGAUUUCAAAUGUUUAUACACAAUGUAUUUUAUUUUUUGGACCAAGCAGUGACUCUUUGAUUUUGCACUUUUUUUUUGAGGGAUCAGAAGGGAAGGGGAGAGUCAAGAUGUGUGUUAGGCCCUCAUAUUUGCUGCUUUGUUGCAAGUUGAUAUAACUGCGUGUAAUUACGAAUUCAUUUUAUCCUGAAUGUUUGCAUUUCAUACUCUGAAUUUCAGUAAAAAUCAAAACUUAAGAUUCUAACCAGUCAUAUACACUGGAUAAUUUGGUAAGAAAACUGUAUUUUUUUUCCCUGAAAUUGGAUAAUGUACUUUCUUCUCAAGAUUCAUGACCCGAUAGAACAAUACUUACUAUCAGUUAUGUUGAAAAGGCUCUUGGGCAUUUUAAACAAAAUGAAGUAUAUCCAUUUUGAAACCUGUAUAUUUCUUUUUCGGGGUUUCUGCAUGCAGUGGCAGUCUUAAGUGCCAAAAUUCAUUAUAACCCCAAAAUAACCCCUUGACGAAGGCUUGCUGUCUUUUACUGUGUUACACAGCAUCCUUACUGGAUAUCUUAGUUGCUUAUUUGGGCAGCACACUAAUAUUACUUAAAACACUGUGAUAUACUGGAGUUUUAGUUAGCUUAAGUCAGUUCAGGGCAUUUUAGGGCUGUCUUGCUAUACUGAAUUGUAGCUAACAAUCCUAUCUAGUACCAUACUGAGUUACUGGUAUGACCCUGUGGAAACACACAUUAUUUUAUGUAAAUAUAGGCUAAAGACUUAAUGUCCUUUAGCUUGUGUAUAUAAUUGUGUUGUAUAGUCUCAGAGUACAUUCUAACCCUACAUUUCUAAUCAUAUUAUUGGUAAUCUUUUCUGUGAAUAUUAGGUUUCCUCCAGAAAUAGUCCGUUAUUUGGGAAAGUUAACUGUGUGCACUUUUAGAUAUUAACUACAUUUACAGGCAAAUCACUGUAAUGAGAAUGGUACUGGAAAAAUACUGAAUAGACUUGCUAAAUGGCAUAUGCACUACAAGAGGAACCUUUUAGGUUAUUUAAUAUGUACAGAAAACAGUAGAAAAAAUUUAUUACAGAAUUCUAGUUCCAGUAUGAAUAGUGGAAACCCAUCUGUAAAUUAGAUGGAUGUUGGAUGGAAAAUGACAUUGCUAAAUUGGAGAAUUUCUUUUUACCUACUAAUGUAGAUUGCUUUGUAUAAUAAAACACAGGGUUUGGAAGGUUUUGUUACAGGGAGCAUGGUCUGUUGAAGAUUUUUAAAAUGUAUUUUUCUAGAUUAACUUCUGUACAUGAAAUGUCUAAUAAAACUAUAAGAGGUUUAGAGAUUUUUCCAUUGG
rnacentral:sRNA from 1 species